rnacentral:lncRNA from 1 species
GUUCUCUUUUUGUAAUCCAUUAGUCACUUUCUCACCUUGAUAAGUGGGCCCACAUAGAAAAUGCAGGUGCUUAUGUAACCACAAACGUGGGAUCUACAGUGCCUAUACAUGAGAUCAGCAAACUAAUGCCUAUGGGCCAUCUGACUUGGGGCCUAUUUUUAUUAAUAUUUGUUGGAAUGCCAUCAUGACAAUGGUAGUUAUCUCUGGCUGCUUUAGGUCACAAAGGCUAGGAUGAGUAGCUGUGGCAGAGACCACACAACUUAUAAUACCUAACAUACUUGCUAUUUGACCCAUCAUCCUGGGGGUGAAGAAUGUUUUUCUGAAGACUGGCAUCAUCAGCAUCAUCUUGCAGCUUUUAAAAAAAUGUAGACUCUCAGGCCACUUCUCAGAACUACUGACUCACAAUCUGCAAUUUAUUAAUCUCUCCAGAUGAUUCAUAUGCACAUUAGCGUUUGAGAAGCACUGGGCUAGUCUUCUGUGGAAGAAGCAGUCAUCUUGUGUGGAAACUCCAUUGCUGCUUCUGUUCCCCUCCUGUUGGAAAAGUUCCAUCAUGAUGCUUCAUCUACAUCCAUCUUAUUUCUGGCUCAAAUUCACAUCAACAUAUUGAGCAUGUACCUUGGCCUAGUACUGUAUUUAUAGACAGUGUGCUGUUGUAGGAAGAGCUGGGACUUUGUUAUAAGAUGGACUUGGGUCCAAAAGGUGGUUCUGUGAUGUGCAUGUAGAAAAGUAUUCAAUCUCUGAAUCAGUUUUAUCAUUUGCAAAAACAAAGCAAACAACAACAAACAGAAAACUCCUAGUCUAGGCUUUAGAACAGGAAGAUCUUCUGAACAGGCUAUUUGGAAAGAUCUGUACUCCUUUAGUUCCAAAGUUUUCUAUUCAUAUGUUCCUCACAAGUGAUAAAGUCUCAAGGGCAGCAAGUAAAAGACUACACCUGGAAGCCCAGAGACUCCAGAGGCUGAGACCUGAGGAUUGCAAGUUCAAGGCCAGCCUCAGCAACAUAGUGAGGCCCGAAGCAACUUAGCAACACCCUGUCUCAAAAAUAAAAAGGGGCUGGGGGUGUAGCUUAGUGGUAAAGUUCCCCUGAGUUCAGUUCCUUAGUACAAACAAAUAAACUAUACCUGGAAUUGCAUUCUUCACCUCUAGCCAGCUCAAGGCUCAAGAGGCCUCUACUGAAGAUUGUCAGAGCUAAAUAAUACCACUAGAUGGCGCCAACAGAGUUCAUUCGGAUUAAGGUAAAAAUACUUGGUUGCCAACAUAAAUCCUCCAGUUUAUAAGGCUCUUGAUGAGUUUAUUUAAACUUCUGAAAAGGCCACCUCUAGCCAAAGGGAGAAUCGAAUAAAUGUUGGGAGGAGAGUACACAGAAUAUUGAAAUGUGUCUUCAUUGACAGGAAUGUCAGCUGGCCCACAAGAACUGCUGAGACCUUUGAAGAAACAGAAUAUUAGAAAGGAAUACACAGGCUUCCAAACUUCUGGUGCUGCCAUGACAAUUAGUGCUCACAGAUUAGGUUGUUAUAAAGUGCCUAGGUGGAUUAUGGGAGCACAUUUUGGGAGUGAGGAUUCAGACCACCAUGUGAGAAUGAGAAGUCAGGAAAGGAAUAAAACCAGAGGAUUGGGGUGGGGUGGGGAGAAUUUGAUUGGUUGGUUUGGUUUUGUAUCAGGGUUAAACCCAGGAGUGCUUAACCACUGAACAACAUACCCAGAGCUUUUAAUGUUUUGUUUUUGUUUUUAUUUUGAGACAGGGUCUUGCUAAAUUGGUUAGGGCCCUGCUAAACUGCUAAGGCUGGCCCCAAAUUUGCGAUCCUGCUGCCUAGGCCUCCCGAGUCUCUGGAUUACAGGCAUGUGCCACCACACCAGAGAAAAGCAGAAAAUUUCUAAUAACAGAAAUAAAUCUAGUCCCAAAGGCUGAUGUUAUUUUCACCUUAAAUGAUGCCGAAAGAUAAACACUCAUGAGUACUAAUUCAGAAAGCAUAGCCACCACAAGCCGGUGACACUCCAAAUUAUGGUAUUAGGAUGCCUUCCAACCAGUGUGGUAAUGCACACCUGUAAUCUCUGAAACUCUAGAGGCUAAGGCAGUAGGGUGGUGAGUUGGAGGCCUGCCUGGGCAACUUAGAGAAACCCUGUCUCAAAACUAAAUAAGGA